GUCUACGGCCAUGCCACCCUGAACAAGCCCCAUGUCUGAUCUCGGAAACUAAGCCUGGUUAGUACUUGGAUGGGAGACCAUCUAGGAAGACCAGGUGCUGUAGGUA
rnacentral:rRNA from 1 species